UCGUUCCAACUCGGAGUAACAUCGUCUGCCAACUCAGUUCCUCCCGAGUCGCGUUCUCAUUCCAACUCGGCCAUGGCUUCGGUCCAUGCCACAGCUCCUCAGAGGUUCACAUCCUUCACCACAGCAAAACGAGCUCCAGCGCCCUCUCAUCCACGCGCCGCCCUCAAUUUCCACGCGCCGAAGCCUCCGGAGCGUUCGAUUUUCUCGAGAAACGGGCAGAGGUCGAAUUGGGCGUUGAACUCGGCGGUAGAAGAGCUCGAUGUUAUCCCGGUGCAGAGCACUGAUUUCACCGACCAGCAGGAAGGCGUGGCGGUGGGACGGGUGGAGAGGGAUGGCGUGGAAGGAGAACUGGGGAGUGCGGUAGGUGGAUUCGGCGAGCUCUCGUUGGGAGGUGCUGGUGAAAUUCAGGGGUUUUCUUCUUCUGCUUCUGUUGGCGAUGGCGGUGGCGGUGGAACAGAGAACGAGGAAAUGGAGAGGGUUAUGAUUGAUCGGAUUAUAAAUGCGACCAUUGUUCUUGCGGCGGGUUCUUAUGCUCUCACGAAGUUGCUUACCAUCGAUCAAGAUUAUUGGCAUGGAUGGACACUUUAUGAAAUACUGAGAUAUGCCCCUCAACACAACUGGAGUGCUUAUGAGGAAGCUCUUAAGACGCACCCAGUUCUCGCUAAAAUGGUGAUUAGUGGAGUGGUGUACUCUCUUGGAGAUUGGAUUGCACAGUGUUUCGAAGGAAAACCUCUGUUUGAAUUUGAUCGCACACGGAUGUUCAGAUCAGGCCUCGUUGGUUUUUCUCUACAUGGUUCCCUUUCCCACUACUACUAUCAUUUUUGUGAGGGUCUUUUUCCUUUUCAAGAUUGGUGGGUAGUUCCUGCAAAAGUAGCAUUCGAUCAAACGGCAUGGUCAGCAGUUUGGAACAGUAUUUAUUUUGUGGUAUUAGGAUUCUUGCGGCUCGAGUCCCCAGUUUCUAUAUUUAAUGAACUAAAGGCGACAUUUUGGCCUAUGCUUACCGCCGGUUGGAAACUUUGGCCGUUUGCUCAUCUUAUCACAUACGGUGUUAUUCCUGUAGAACAAAGACUCCUGUGGGUUGAUUGUGUGGAGCUUAUAUGGGUGACCAUACUCUCAACUUAUUCAAACGAGAAAUCGGAGGCCAGAAUCUCCGAGGUAGCAACAGAUUCCAGUUCAGAUUCCCUUCCCACAGAUUCAACUCAGGACUAAGCUUGCAGGAAAAACCAUGUAGGAUCUGAAGAUGGAACCAUUUGUUGCUCAGUUCGACUCCAAGAGUCUCAAGAAAUAUUCUAGUUCCAUUGGCUCUUCAAGCUUUAUCCAUGGUGCCAAAGAUCAGAAAGCUGCAGAAAAAACUUCUUGAAGCCUAAGUUCUUUCACCAUUAAUUCUUCUAUCAAAACUGCUAUGGGGUUAAGUGAGCUGAAGAUAAGAACCACCAUGGAUUUGGCUAAAAUGUACAAGCUAUACUUUGGAUGUCGUUGGGAUUAUAAUUAGAUAUCGUAUGAGUUCUCUGACUAUGGUCGUACAGAAUCAAGGGGUUAGUUUGCAAGAUUAGUUGAGAUGUCCAUGAACCAACUUGAACAUCUUUAUGUUAUCAUUCAUUGUUUUGCUUGGUUCACAACAAGAAUGAAGGACCUAAGCUGCAAUUCUCAUCAAAUAUGGUCCUUUUGGGCAAAUUAAUUGGAAAAGGGAAAUUAGAGAAGCUCCUUGUAUUUUCUGGAAUAUGUAGGAUGUUCUUUUUAGGGGAUGGAACAGGAAUAAAUAGGGGUAUGGCGGAUGGGGAUUCCAUUGAACACAAAGACCCCACAUGUAAUACAAAUCCAGCGCCAUUUAUUAUUCUUUCUCA